AGCGAACGCUGGCGGCAGGCUUAACACAUGCAAGUCGAGCGGGCACUUUCGGGUGUUCGCGGCCUACGGGUGAGUAACGCGUGGUAACGUGCCCUCUGGUUCGCAAUAUCUCAGGGUAACUUGACCUAAUACCGCCUACGCCCUUUUGGGGAAAUGCUUUCUGCCGGAGGAUGGGCCCGAGUCUGAUUUUCUAGUUGUUUCGGUAACGUCUCACCAAGGCGACGAUCCGUAUAUGGUCUGAGAGGAUGAUCAGCCACACUGGGACUGAGACACGGGCCAGAAUCCUACGGGAGGCAGGAGAGGGGAAUAUUGGAAAAUGGGCGGAAGGAUGAAAGAGCAAUGACGCGUAAGUGAUGAAGGCCUUAGGGUAGUAAAGCUCUAUUAACCGGGAAGAUAAUGACGGUACCGGAGGAAUAAGCCCCGGCUAACUUCGUG
rnacentral:rRNA from 1 species